AUUGAACGCUGGCGGCAGGCCUAACACAUGCAAGUCGAACGAGUGGCGGACGGGUGAGUAAUGUGUGGGAAACUGCCUGAUGGAGGGGGAUAACUACUGGAAACGGUAGCUAAUACCGCAUACCAGCGGCUGUGCCCAGAUGGGAUUCGAUAGGUGGUGGGGUAAAGGCGCACAUAGGCGACGAUCCCUAGCUGGUCUGAGAGGAUGAACAGCCACACUGGACCUGAGACACGUUCCCGACUCCUCCGGUAGGCAGCAGUGGGGAAUAUUGCACAAUGGGCGAAAGCCUGAUGCAGCCAUGCCGCGUGUAUGAAGAAGGCCUUCGGGUUGUAAAGUACUUUCAGCGGGGAGGCGUUACCCGCAGAAGAAGCACCGGCUAACUCCGUGCCAGCAGCCGCGGUAAUAC
rnacentral:rRNA from 1 species